rnacentral:rRNA from 1 species
UACGGAGGAUGCGAGCGUUAUCCGGAUUUAUUGGGUUUAAAGGGUGCGUAGGCGGCCGAGUAAGUCAGCGGUGAAAUUUUGCAGCUUAACUGUAACAGUGCCGUUGAUACUGCAUGGCUAGGAUUUGGUUGCUGUGGGUGGAAUGUGUGGUGUAGCGGUGAAAUGCUUAGAUAUCACACAGAAUAUCAAUUGCGAAGGCAGCUCACAAAGCCAAGAUUGACGCUGAGGCACGAAAGCGUGGGGAUCAAA